rnacentral:tRNA from 1 species
AGCAGGCUGGCGCAGUGGAAGCGUGCUGGGUCCAUAACCCAGAGGUCAAUGAUUCGAAACCAUUUCCUACUA